CUACGGGCGGCUCCAGUGGGGAAUAUUGCACAAUGGGCGCAAGCCUGAUGCAGCCAUGCCGCGUGUAUGAAGAAGGCCUUCGGGUUGUAAAGUACUUUCAGCGGGGAGGAAGGGAGUAAAGUUAAUACCUUUGCUCAUUGACGUUACCCGCAGAAGAAGCACCGGCGAACUCCGUGCCAGCAGCCGCGGUAAUACGGAGGGUGCAAGCGUUAAUCGGAAUUACUGGGCGUAAAGCGCACGCAGGCGGUUUGUUAAGUCAGAUGUGAAAUCCCCGGGCUCAACCUGAGAACUGCAUCUGAUACUGGCAAGCUUGAGUCUCGUAGAGGAGGGUAGAAUUCCAGGUGUAGCGGUGAAAUGCGUAGAGAUCUGGAGGAAUACCGGUGGCGAAGGCGGCCCCCUGGACGAAGACUGACGCUCAGGUGCGAAAGCGUGGGGAGCAAACAGGAUUAGAUACCCUAGUAGUC
rnacentral:rRNA from 1 species